rnacentral:rRNA from 1 species
UACGUAGGGUGCAAGCGUUGUCCGGAAUUAUUGGGCGUAAAGAGCUCGUAGGCGGUUUGUCGCGUCUGCUGUGAAAACUCGGGGCUUAACUCCGGGCCUGCAGUGGGUACGGGCAGACUAGAGUGCGGUAGGGGAGACUGGAAUUCCUGGUGUAGCGGUGAAAUGCGCAGAUAUCAGGAGGAACGCCGGUGGCGAAGGCGGGUCUCUGGGCCGAAAUUGACGCUGAGGAGCGAAAGCGUGGGGAGCAAACAGG